rnacentral:rRNA from 1 species
CAUGGUUUUUUGUAUUAUAAUUUAAAAUUUAACCUGCUCAAUGUUUAUAUAAAUAGCCGCAGUAUAUUGACUGUGCAAAGGUAGCAUAAUAAUUAGUUUUUUAAUUGAAAACUGGAAUGAAUGGUUUAACGAAAAAAAUUCUGUCUCUUGUUAUAUUUUAAAAUUUUAUUUUUUAGUGAAAAAGCUAAAAUAUUAUUGAAAGACGAGAAGACCCUAUAGAGUUUUAUAAUUUUAUUAAAAUAAAUUCUUAUAGAAAUUUUUUAUUUGUUUAAUUAAAUUAUUUAUUUGGGGUGAAUAAAAGAUUUAAUAAACUCUUAUAAUAAUUUUUCAUUUAUUUUUGUUUUAUUGAUCCUUAUUUUAGAUUAAAAGAUUAAAUUACCUUAGGGAUAACAGCGUUAUUAUAUUUUAGAGUUCUUAUUGAAAAUAUAGAUUGCGACCUCGAUGUUGGAUUAAAGUUUAUUAUUGGUGUAGUAGCUAAUUAAUUGAGUCUGUUCGACUUUUAAAAUUUUACAUGAUCUGAGU